AUUCUUUUAGUAUUAACACAGUACAGUUGACUUCCAACAACUAGCUUCGGACAGACCCGAAAAAGAAUA
rnacentral:tRNA from 1 species